rnacentral:rRNA from 1 species
CCUGAGAGGGCGACCGGCCACACUGGGACUGAGACACGGCCCAGACUCCUACGGGAGGCAGCAGUGGGGAAUAUUGCACAAUGGGCGAAAGCCUGAUGCAGCGACGCCGCGUGAGGGAUGACGGCCUUCGGGUUGUAAACCUCUUUCAGCAGGGAAGAAGCGAAAGUGACGGUACCUGCAGAAGAAGCGCCGGCUAACUACGUGCCAGCAGCCGCGGUAAUACGUAGGGCGCAAGCGUUGUCCGGAAUUAUUGGGCGUAAAGAGCUCGUAGGCGGCUUGUCACGUCGGUUGUGAAAGCCCGGGGCUUAACCCCGGGUCUGCAGUCGAUACGGGCAGGCUAGAGUUCGGUAGGGGAGAUCGGAAUUCCUGGUGUAGCGGUGAAAUGCGCAGAUAUCAGGAGGAACACCGGUGGCGAAGGCGGAUCUCUGGGCCGAUACUGACGCUGAGGAGCGAAAGCGUGGGGAGCGAACAGGAUUAGAUACCCUGGUAGUCCACGCCGUAAACGGUGGGCACUAGGUGUGGGCAACAUUCCACGUUGUCCGUGCCGCAGCUAACGCAUUAAGUGCCCCGCCUGGGGAAGUAC